rnacentral:rRNA from 1 species
GAUGAACGCUGGCGGCGUGCCUAAUACAUGCAAGUCGAGCGAACGGACGAGAAGCUGCUUCUCUGAUGUUAGCGGCGGACGGGUUAGUAACCCGUGGAUAACCUACCUAUAAGACUGGGAUAACUUCGGGAAACCGGAGCUAAUACCGGAUAAUAUUUUGAACCGCAUGGUUCAAAAGUGAAAGACGGUCUUGCUGUCACUUAUAGAUGGAUCCGCGCUGCAUUAGCUAGUUGGUAAGGUAACGGCUUACCAAGGCAACGAUGCAUAGCCGACCUGAGAGGGUGAUCGGCCACACUGGAACUGAGACACGGUCCAGACUCCUACGGGAGGCAGCAGUAGGGAAUCUUCCGCAAUGGGCGAAAGCCUGACGGAGCAACGCCGCGUGAGUGAUGAAGGUCUUCGGAUCGUAAAACUCUGUUAUUAGGGAAGAACAUAUGUGUAAGUAACUGUGCACAUCUUGACGGUACCUAAUCAGAAAGCCACGGCUAACUACGUG